UAUCUCUGUAGAGUCUGCAUAUCAAUAAGCGGAGGAAAAGAAACUAACAAGGAUUCCCCUAGUAACGGCGAGUGAAGCGGGAAGAGCUCAAAUUUGAAAUCUUCAAGGUUUGACCUUGACGAAUUGUAGUUUAAAGAAGUGUUUUCGGUUAGAGGAGUAGUAAAAGUUCUUUGGAAUAGGACAUCAUAGAGGGUGAGAAUCCCGUAUUUGACUAUUCUUUCUAGCUUUGUGAUACACUUUCAAAGAGUCGGAUUGUUUGGGAAUGCAGUCCAAAAUGGGUGGUAAAUUUCAUCUAAAGCUAAAUAUUGGCGAGAGACCGAUAGCGAACAAGUACCGUGAGGGAAAGAUGAAAAGAACUUUGAAAAGAGAGUUAAACAGUACGUGAAAUUGUCAAAAGGGAAGCGUUUGACACCAGUGUUGUUUUUCCGAAAAUCAAUUAAAAAUUGAUUCAUGCCAGGUUGUAUUGACCUUAUCAGCUUGCAAUUUGGUUUUGGGUCUCUUUUUGAUGCACUUUUCGGUUAACAAGUCAACAUCAAUUUCCUUUGCUGUAAAAAGGUAAGGAGGAAGGUGGCUUCAAUUUCGGUUGAAGUGUUUAUAGCCUUUUAUCUCUGCAGUCGGGGAGAUUGAGGUCUGCAGCGUAGAUCCUUUCGGGGCUAGAUACAUUUAUGCUAAGUUAUAGCUUUUCAUAGACAACUUGUUGACUAUGUUUAGUCAUGUCGCUUACUCCGUAAGUGCUAUUUUACCUACGCUUAGGAUGUUGAAGACUCUACAGAGAUA
rnacentral:rRNA from 1 species